GCCAAGAUAGCUCAGUCAGUAGAGCAUGAGACUCAAUCUCAGGCUUGUGGGUUCAAACCCAACUCUGUGAUU